GCACCCGGUGAUUAUAAAAAGACGCGUUAUUCUGAGGGUUUUUGCUAGAGGUCAGCUUUUCUGCUUUUUUCUCUUCUCUAUUCCUUCUCCUAUUCUCUUCUUUGAAGCUGACAACUAGUCCGUUGACUGCGAUUAUGAGAUAUGAGGGUGC